rnacentral:misc_RNA from 1 species
GAUGAAGAACGCAGCGAAAUGCGAUAAGUAGUGUGAAUUGCAGAAUUCAGUGAAUCAUCGAAUCUUUGAACGCACAUUGCGCCCCUUGGUAUCCCGAGGGGCAUGCCUGUUCGAGCGUCAUUUCACCACUCAAGCCUGGCUUGGUGUUGGGCGACGUCCUCUUUGGGGACGCGCCUCGAAACGCUCGGCGGCGUGGCACCGGCUUUAAGCGUAGCAGAAUCUUUCGCUUUGGAAGUCGGGGCCCCGUCUGCCGGAAGACCUGCUCGCAAUGUUGACCUCGGAUCAGGCAGGGAUACCCGCUGAACUUAAGCAUAUCAAUAAGCGGAGGA